AGAUGCAGCCAACGAGAAGGCAGCCAGGUCCAAGGGAAAGGCAGCAGGCGCAGCACCAGGCAAGACCUCUCAGGCAGCCAGGCG
rnacentral:rRNA from 1 species